rnacentral:rRNA from 1 species
UACGAAGGGGGCUAGCGUUGUUCGGAUUUACUGGGCGUAAAGGGCGCGUAGGCGGAUUUUUAAGUCAGGGGUGAAAUCCCAAGGCUCAACCUUGGAACUGCCUUUGAUACUGGGGAUCUUGAGUCCGGGAGAGGUGAGUGGAACUGCGAGUGUAGAGGUGAAAUUCGUAGAUAUUCGCAAGAACACCAGUGGCGAAGGCGGCUCAUUGGCCCGGAACUGACGCUG